rnacentral:lncRNA from 1 species
AAAGACGCCUGAUGUCGGAACGGUGAAGGCACGUCUACAAGAUAAUGUGGUGUAAACAGAUGGUAAACGUAAUUUCCGGACACAGAUGCGACUUGCAAGGGUCAAAAUCUUUAUAUUAUGAUCUCUAUGUGCAUGCGAAUAUCUUCAGCCGACUUGUAAAAUGUCCAAACAGCUCCAACUGCUACCUAAGAUGAUAACACGGACGAUAAAGGAAUGAAGGGUAUGUCUGCUUCACUACGAUUGACAAAACUUGCACAUCUACUUUCAAGCUGGUGAAAGCACGACUUCAAGAUGUAAACUAAAAAAGAAGAUGGUAAUUUCCGGCCACAAGUGUCAAAAUCUUAAAAUUAGGGUCGAAGAGAAAUAUACGUCUCCUUGCGGUAAACAGAAUACAGCACGGCAUUUUGCUUCAUAUACGUGUUAUUCAAAAGACAACAACAGUUUAAAGCCAAAGGAACCCAAUCUAACAAAUUGUGUCAGUCUUUGGACAUUGGAAAUUCUCCCCUUUGCUGAUGAAAUACCAUCUAUCAUUUAAUGGAUAUUUAACUAGAACAGAACGGAACAGAACAGAACAGAACGGACCAGAACAGAACUCUCAGUCAGCAUUUACAUCUCUGUAAACGGCAUCGAUAUUGCCAUUUAAUUUAUCAUAUAUUUAUCGAUUUAUAACUGGUAUUCUGCGGACUCCGUAAUUGAUACAUUGCCAUUUUCUUGACAAAAUAUUGAUAAAUCAGUUGAUAGACCGAUACCGAAGUUGGAUUUUGCUGUUAUCCGAAUUCAGAAAGCAGCAUAAUACAAUAAGUACAAUGAUUAUCAAGAUUUAUAAAAAAUGUUUCACCUAGAGUUAUUUUGACAUAGGAAAUUCUACACGUCUGACAAACCGGAAGUAAAGGCAUGACGUCAUUUAACCGGAAAUAUAACACAAAACCUGGACUCGGCAUAUGGAUUCUCCUUUUCGUUUGCCUAAUUUUCUUAAAAUAUCUAUGGGUUUGAAAACUUAAGAUUUUCUCAAUUCGAGCAAACAACAACAACAACUACAAAACCACCAUAAUGUAAAUUCUGUAUGUUUUGUGCAAAUUUGUCAAGAGGA